rnacentral:rRNA from 1 species
GAUCAUGGCUCAGGAUGAACGCUAGCUACAGGCUUAACACAUGCAAGUCGAGGGGAAACGAUAGAGAAAGCUUGCUUUUUCUAGGCGUCGACCGGCGCACGGGUGAGUAACGCGUAUCCAACCUGCCCACCACUUGGGGAUAACCUUGCGAAAGUAAGACUAAUACCCAAUGACGUCUCUAGAAGACAUCUGAAAGGGNUUAAAGAUUUAUCGGUGAUGGAUGGGGAUGCGUCUGAUUAGCUUGUUGGCGGGGUAACGGCCCACCAAGGCUACGAUCAGUAGGGGUUCUGAGAGGAAGGUCCCCCACAUUGGAACUGAGACACGGUCCAAACUCCUACGGGAGGCAGCAGUGAGGAAUAUUGGUCAAUGGGCGAGAGCCUGAACCAGCCAAGUAGCGUGCAGGAUGACGGCCCUAUGGGUUGUAAACUGCUUUUAUAAGGGAAUAAAGUGAGUCUCGUGAGGCUUUUUGCAUGUACCUUAUGAAUAAGGACCGGCUAAUUCCGUG